rnacentral:pre_miRNA from 1 species
UAUUGGCCUGGUUCACUCAGACACACACUAUUUUGCUUUGAUUGAGCCGUGUCAAUAUC